CGUUCAAACCAUAUUAAAUGACCUUGUGGACCCAUUAAUUUAAAUUCAUGUGAGCCAUGUCCAAACUUUUGAACCCAAGCCUUCCUCCUUUUAAAUUACUUGAAGCCUGCUUUAAAUGCCUCAUGGACCACGUCAGACCACUCUCAUACUCCACAUGCUCAAGCCCAUACGCCCACUUUAUUUUGAAUCUUGAUGUGCAUCGCUCCAGCAUUUAAGCCUCAUGAAGACCAUUAGCUC
rnacentral:lncRNA from 1 species